GUUUAUAUAGUUUAAUAAAAAUAUUACAUUUUCACUGUAAAGUUAGAUUCAAUCUUUUAAAC
rnacentral:tRNA from 1 species